rnacentral:lncRNA from 1 species
AAUGGACUGUAGAAGUCCAGAUUACAAUAAUGGUACUUUCAGCACCAUUGCACGGUUUGGUUGUCUUGCCCAGCUCUUAAUGGUCCAAAAUGCUGUACAAUGGAUUAUGUUUUAAAAAUUGAAGAUAAAAGAUUAAGUUUUGAAUAUCUUCUUUUUUUCUCUGAAGAUGGCAAAUCAAAUUAUUAAUUCACGAGCUCUAGAUAAUAAAAAUAUC